AGCGUACACGGUGGAUGCCCUGGCAGUCAGAGGCGAUGAAGGACGUGCUAAUCUGCGAUAAGCGUCGGUAAGGUGAUAUGAACCGUUAUAACCGGCGAUUUCCGAAUGGGGAAACCCAGUGUGAUUCGUCACACUAUCAUUAACUGAAUCCAUAGGUUAAUGAGGCGAACCGGGGGAACUGAAACAUCUAAGUACCCCGAGGAAAAGAAAUCAACCGAGAUUCCCCCAGUAGCGGCGAGCGAACGGGGAGCAGCCCAGAGCCUGAAUCAGUGUGUGUGUUAGUGGAAGCGUCUGGAAAGGCGCGCGAUACAGGGUGACAGCCCCGUACACAAAAAUGCACAUGCUGUGAGCUCGAUGAGUAGGGCGGGACACGUGGUAUCCUGUCUGAAUAUGGGGGGACCAUCCUCCAAGGCUAAAUACUCCUGACUGACCGAUAGUGAACCAGUACCGUGAGGGAAAGGCGAAAAGAACCCCGGCGAGGGGAGUGAAAAAGAACCUGAAACCGUGUACGUACAAGCAGUGGGAGCACGCUUAGGCGUGUGACUGCGUACCUUUUGUAUAAUGGGUCAGCGACUUAUAUUCUGUAGCAAGGUUAACCGAAUAGGGGAGCCGAAGGGAAACCGAGUCUUAACUGGGCGUUAAGUUGCAGGGUAUAGACCCGAAACCCGGUGAUCUAGCCAUGGGCAGGUUGAAGGUUGGGUAACACUAACUGGAGGACCGAACCGACUAAUGUUGAAAAAUUAGCGGAUGACUUGUGGCUGGGGGUGAAAGGCCAAUCAAACCGGGAGAUAGCUGGUUCUCCCCGAAAGCUAUUUAGGUAGCGCCUCGUGAAUUCAUCUCCGGGGGUAGAGCACUGUUUCGGCAAGGGGGUCAUCCCGACUUACCAACCCGAUGCAAACUGCGAAUACCGGAGAAUGUUAUCACGGGAGACACACGGCGGGUGCUAACGUCCGUCGUGAAGAGGGAAACAACCCAGACCGCCAGCUAAGGUCCCAAAGUCAUGGUUAAGUGGGAAACGAUGUGGGAAGGCCCAGACAGCCAGGAUGUUGGCUUAGAAGCAGCCAUCAUUUAAAGAAAGCGUAAUAGCUCACUGGUCGAGUCGGCCUGCGCGGAAGAUGUAACGGGGCUAAACCAUGCACCGAAGCUGCGGCAGCGACGCUUAUGCGUUGUUGGGUAGGGGAGCGUUCUGUAAGCCUGUGAAGGUGUACUGUGAGGUAUGCUGGAGGUAUCAGAAGUGCGAAUGCUGACAUAAGUAACGAUAAAGCGGGUGAAAAGCCCGCUCGCCGGAAGACCAAGGGUUCCUGUCCAACGUUAAUCGGGGCAGGGUGAGUCGACCCCUAAGGCGAGGCCGAAAGGCGUAGUCGAUGGGAAACAGGUUAAUAUUCCUGUACUUGGUGUUACUGCGAAGGGGGGACGGAGAAGGCUAUGUUGGCCGGGCGACGGUUGUCCCGGUUUAAGCGUGUAGGCUGGUUUUCCAGGCAAAUCCGGAAAAUCAAGGCUGAGGCGUGAUGACGAGGCACUACGGUGCUGAAGCAACAAAUGCCCUGCUUCCAGGAAAAGCCUCUAAGCAUCAGGUAACAUCAAAUCGUACCCCAAACCGACACAGGUGGUCAGGUAGAGAAUACCAAGGCGCUUGAGAGAACUCGGGUGAAGGAACUAGGCAAAAUGGUGCCGUAACUUCGGGAGAAGGCACGCUGAUAUGUAGGUGAAGUCCCUCGCGGAUGGAGCUGAAAUCAGUCGAAGAUACCAGCUGGCUGCAACUGUUUAUUAAAAACACAGCACUGUGCAAACACGAAAGUGGACGUAUACGGUGUGACGCCUGCCCGGUGCCGGAAGGUUAAUUGAUGGGGUUAGCGCAAGCGAAGCUCUUGAUCGAAGCCCCGGUAAACGGCGGCCGUAACUAUAACGGUCCUAAGGUAGCGAAAUUCCUUGUCGGGUAAGUUCCGACCUGCACGAAUGGCGUAAUGAUGGCCAGGCUGUCUCCACCCGAGACUCAGUGAAAUUGAACUCGCUGUGAAGAUGCAGUGUACCCGCGGCAAGACGGAAAGACCCCGUGAACCUUUACUAUAGCUUGACACUGAACAUUGAGCCUUGAUGUGUAGGAUAGGUGGGAGGCUUUGAAGUGUGGACGCCAGUCUGCAUGGAGCCGACCUUGAAAUACCACCCUUUAAUGUUUGAUGUUCUAACGUGGACCCGUAAUCCGGGUUGCGGACAGUGUCUGGUGGGUAGUUUGACUGGGGCGGUCUCCUCCUAAAGAGUAACGGAGGAGCACGAAGGUUGGCUAAUCCUGGUCGGACAUCAGGAGGUUAGUGCAAUGGCAUAAGCCAGCUUGACUGCGAGCGUGACGGCGCGAGCAGGUGCGAAAGCAGGUCAUAGUGAUCCGGUGGUUCUGAAUGGAAGGGCCAUCGCUCAACGGAUAAAAGGUACUCCGGGGAUAACAGGCUGAUACCGCCCAAGAGUUCAUAUCGACGGCGGUGUUUGGCACCUCGAUGUCGGCUCAUCACAUCCUGGGGCUGAAGUAGGUCCCAAGGGUAUGGCUGUUCGCCAUUUAAAGUGGUACGCGAGCUGGGUUUAGAACGUCGUGAGACAGUUCGGUCCCUAUCUGCCGUGGGCGCUGGAGAACUGAGGGGGGCUGCUCCUAGUACGAGAGGACCGGAGUGGACGCAUCACUGGUGUUCGGGUUGUCAUGCCAAUGGCACUGCCCGGUAGCUAAAUGCGGAAGAGAUAAGUGCUGAAAGCAUCUAAGCACGAAACUUGCCCCGAGAUGAGUUCUCCCUGACUCCUUGA
rnacentral:rRNA from 1 species